AAAUCAAAUGUGUUUUAAAGCAUCUUGUGCUGUCAGGUCAUAUGGACUUGGACGCAUUCAACAGUGCAAUUAUUUGUUUCCCUUAUUCUCCUGUGGAUGCAAGGGAUAAGCCUUGCCCCAUAUCUGUCAAUACACUGUCAUCAAAUGACAAUAAAUUGAAACAGUCAGCUGGGCAAAUGCUGGUUUGGUAAAGAUCCUGCCAUUUCUCAUUGACAGAAUUGGAGAAAAUGAUUACACACAAAUGCUACUCAAGUUGUUAAAGAUUGUCAAAAUUCUGUUUUCACCUAUUAUUGCUCUCUCAACUCUUUCAAGGCUGAAGCUUUUAAUAGAGCAACAUUUGAAACAUUUCAAACAACUGUUUCCAGAUGCAAAUAUUAUACCUAAACAGCAUUACUUGCUGCAUCUUCCCUCUCAGAUUAAGGCACUUGGGCCUACAGUGAGGCAUAUGUGUAUGCGUUUUGAGUCAAAGCAUUGCUUUUUUAAGCAGUGGGCUUUGAAAAGUAGUUUUAAAAAUAUCUGUAAGUCUCUUGUUAAGCACAACCAACUUUAUGAAUGUAGUCAGAAUGUGUAUGAGAAACAUCCAAUUUGUUCAAGUGAAGUUGACAUGGGCCCAGCAUCUGAGGUGAAAAAUGUUCACUAUGUCGAAGGAAAGAUCAAAGACUUCUUAGGAAUAGAGCACGUUGAACACAUAGUUUCGGUACAGUGGAUUAUGCAACAUGGAAAUAAGUAUACAUGUGGAAAAUCUUUGGUUAUUUCUAAUGUCAUCAAUGAUAAUCCAGAGUUUGCACUUGUGAAAAACAUUUAUAUUUUAAAUUCGUCAGUGUAUUGUUUUGAAUGCCAACCACUCUCUACAGUUGGGUGGAAUGAUCAUUAUUUAGCUUACGAGGUAGAAGUUCCCGACCUAGCUCAAGCAAAUAUUUUCAUGGAUGCUGAAAAGCUUGUUGAUUAUACACCAUACUACUAUGUAAACUUCAAUAAUAGCAAGUACAUUCCACUGAAGUAUGAUCUCACAGACAUCAUCAAACAUCAUUCUUGAGUCUGUAUUGAGUGUACAGUUGGGCUGAUUUUUUUUAAGCACUGACAAACACUGUAAUUGAUGACAGCAUUUAUUUGUACUUAUUACUUGUUUAAUAAUGUGGUACAGUAUGUCUGUCUUUUUUUACAUAUCUAAUGGACAUGGUUUGCUGGAAAUGUAAUAGCCACACUGUACUGUGAGUUGCAAGCCCUGCAUGUUUUCAAUAAAGCAAAUUUGUAGUCUCAAUUCAAGUCAAGUCUAUUUCUUGAAACAAGACGAUUCAUCUUUUGCAAAUAACACAGCAGCUUAAAAACCUUAUGACAUAUUAAAAAAACUUGUUUCAUCUGAGAUAUAACUCAAAACAAGAUGUUUUCAAGACUGUUUCACUUAGCAAGAUAUUCAAGAUGCACUGUCUAAAAACAAGCGCCUUUAUCUCACUUAAAUCUUACUCUUUAGGUGAUUUUGUCUUGUAUUAAGUGUGAUGAGAUGUUUUGACUAGAAAUUAGAAAAAUAUACUUGGCAAGAUUUUGAGUUUUUGCAGUGCAUCAGAAGUGUCUUAACAUCAAUCCUGGAGCAGUCAUCCAAACAACUUGACUGUUCUUCUGUUAGGACAUUUUUGUAUGAAGUCAUGGCUGUGAUCAACAGCAGGCCUUUAACCACUGAUUACCUCUGUGAUGCUUCUUGCCCCGAGCCCCUGACACCUAAUCACAUUUUGACCAUGAAGUCUACAGUAAUCGCUCCACCUCCUGGACGAUUUGUUAGAGAGGAUCUUUAUCUUCGUAAAAGAUGGCGUCGUGUUUAGUUCCUGGCCAACAGUUUCUGGUUGCGAUGGAAGAGAGAAUAUCUCUUGAAUCUUCAGCAUCGACAGAAGUGGACCAAGGAACAAAGAAACGCAAAGAAACGCAUCCAGAAGACUGUUACACUACUGGAAGCAGAUUGAAGGCCUGAGUUUACACUUUCAUCCUGUCAUUAUAAGCUUAUAAGCAGUAGUUGAAUCUUAAAGUUAGUAAAUAAAAGGUUAUAAAUAAGUUCAUCACAAGUUCAUAUAGCUUCACAUUAGGAAUAAAGAAAUUAAAAUAAAAUCACAGAAGAUUUUGGUGGGAGUAUAACUGUCAUCAGUUACCUAAAUGGCAUGAAUAAUAUUUCCAAUAUAUAAAUUAAUAUGGUUAUUUCAUUUGUUUAUGGUGAGCAUAGUUUUCAUGGUGCGCAGUAUAUUUUUGUGUUGUAUUGGGGUGGAAUCUUCUAUUCUACUUCCUGGGGGACAUAAUUCAGGGACGUACAGGAAAGGGAUAUCUUGAAAAACAGCGGUAAUCCAGUUUUCGCCUACCAGGACCAAAGAAGGCUUAAGCUUUAUGUGUGAGAUGUAUUUGAUGAAUAUUGCAAGAGAAGAAUGUAACGCGGGUCAUUUAACGUUUGAAUGGACCCCGGUUGUGGAAUAUUGUUCUUGAAGAAAUGUUAUGAAGAGUGAUGAACCUUUGUGUGCAACGAACCUAGCUCCUUUUGGUAACAAGCUGCCAGCGAGUUUUCACGGGACGAAGCUGAAUAAAGAACGCCCUGUAGUUUAAAAGAAAACUCCGUUUCCUCGUGUUACUGUGGGAGCUACAGUGAAAACUCGAUGUCAAGACCCAAGGCGUGUGGAGAAGCAAGCGGCAAGUCAUCGCCAUCGCAUCGCAUUCCUCAGCGCUUCUUCUGAGAUGAGACGCACGAGAGCUACUUUGCAGUCCGCAGUACGGUGCAGGUGCCAUUGUUUUGCUAGCGUAGGCUCAACAUUUUGAACGGACAUUUCAGAGACUUCGGUUUGAGCUCUAUAGGAACUCAUUUGAAUGGUGUUUGUCUACAACAAGAGACUCUUGGUUUGGAUUUCAAUUUAAAUGUGACCGUGUUCAUAUCUAGGUCAAUCUAUGUUUUCUUUGUUGGCUAAUAACUCUUGGUUUGAUGAUGGUCCAUUUAGGCUUAGGCAAGUUCAAUACCAUAAUGGCAGGUUGUAGCCAUUAUGCAUGAUCAUAUGCAUGUGUGUGACUAACAUAACAGUUAUUUCAAAUGCUCUUUUAAAUAGAGAAUGUUUAUAGUUGAA